UACAGAGGUCCCAAGCGUUGUUCGGAUUCACUGGGCGUAAAGGGUGCGUAGGUGGCCAGGUAAGUCUGAUGUGAAAUCUCGGAGCUCAACUCCGAAACUGCAUUGGAUACUAUCUGGCUGGAGGGUCGGAGGGGGGACUGGAAUUCUCGGUGUAGCAGUGAAAUGCGUAGAUAUCGAGAGGAACACCAGUGGCGAAGGCGAGUCCCUGGACGACUCCUGACACUGAGGCACGAAAGCGUGGGGAGCAAACAGG
rnacentral:rRNA from 1 species